UAGGUGAACCUGCGGAAGGAUCAUUAAUGAAACUUCAAAGUCGGCUUUUUGUCGUCUGUGCUGGUGGAGACACAUGUGCACGUCGACAGAGAGUCGCAAAAUCCACACACCUGUGCAUCUAUGACUCUGAGCACCGCUUUGCAUGGCUCCUCAUUGGGCCUGGUACUCGAGUACUUUACACACUCUGAAUGUAACGGAAUGUCUAUUUGUACAAUGUACAACUAAAAACAACUUUCAACAACGGAUCUCUUGGCUCUCGCAUCGAUGAAGAACGCAGCGAAAUGCGAUAAGUAAUGUGAAUUGCAGAAUUCAGUGAAUCAUCGAAUCUUUGAACGCACCUUGCACCCUUUGGUAUUCCGAAGGGUACACCCGUUUGAGUGUCAUUGUAAUCUCACCUCUUCGACUUUUGUCGAUCAGUGUGGACUUGGAUGUUGCCGUGUAACAAGCGGCUCGUCUGAAAUGCCUGAGUGUACCCUGCUUUGCGGCGUAUUCGGUGUGAUAAAUCUUCACCGGAGUCUGACUUUCGAGUCGCGCUUGUAUCGUAUGGCUCUGUGCUUCCAACUGUCCUAACAAGACAAUCUCUGACAAUUUGACCUCAAAUCGGGUGGGACUACCCGCUGAACUUAAGCAUAUC
rnacentral:rRNA from 1 species